GUCCAGAAAAGCUAAUGUCACGAA
rnacentral:siRNA from 1 species